UACGGAGGGGGCUAGCGUUGUCCGGAAUUAUUGGGCGUAGAGCGCGCGCAGGCGGCCUCUUAAGUCUGAUGUGAAAGCCCCCGGCUCAACCGGGGAGGGCCAUUGGAAACUGGGAGGCUUGAGUAUAGGAGAGAAGAGUGGAAUUCCACGUGUAGCGGUGAAAUGCGUAGAGAUGUGGAGGAACACCAGUGGCGAAGGCGACUCUUUGGCCUAUAACUGACACUGAGGCGCGAAGGCCAGGGGAGCAAACAGG
rnacentral:misc_RNA from 1 species